CUCGUUCAAAAAUCAUAACACCGCCGCGGCCGCCACGUUUACCAGCCGGAGCCUCAAAUCAUGUCCCUUUGUGGUGAUAAAGAGGACACAGCCUGGUGUGAAGCUACAUUUAUUACGGAAGGAUGCCAGCCGGGAUCCGAACACGUCCGAUAUCAUCCAAGAGAAUGUGGCAGCUGAAGGGGGAGAGGCCAAGAAAGAGGCCAAGGGUGAAGACAUUUAGCCACCCCCCCUGAAGUACAUGGCAUCAUUCAACCCUCUUGGUGAGCUGCAGGAAUGUGCUUCCCAUUGCAGUGCACCAGCUCCAUGUACUGAUUUUGGUGUGAACUUGAUGGGGUUGGAGGAAACUCGACUUGGCCAUCAAGCUCACCACAAUAUAACAUGAAAAGUGAAAAUUGCUGCACACAACAGUCUGUCGUCUGCACCGGGAGGCAAGGCAGCUCAAAGCCCAGGUUGUUACAAAUCCUGGGCAGUUUUGCCCAGAGCCAGCAAUUUUUAGAUCCAAUAGGGAUGGAUUUUUUCUGAGGUCAGGUUCAACAUGCUGCAAGAUGCCAAGAUCUAAGCCUAGUAGGAGAUAUGGGUUACAAGAGAGGAGGUUUGCUCUGGCCUUAUACUUUCAAAGUCCAAAUGCUAAUAGAUUUCUGAGCACAGUAUUUCACUUGUCUUCAGUUUCAACACUUUACUCAUGACUCAGGGGUAUUUCAGUAAAUGUUGGCUGGAGCAAACAGACUCUGACAGCCCUGCAGCAAAGAGCACAGGCUUUGUCAAAAGAAGAGAAACUUUGUGGGAUUUGCCAUUAUUUAGUAUUACUCUUGUUACGCCAAGAAUUUUUUUCCACAUACUUUGCCAAAUAUUGCAAGUAAUGCACCAUUGUUGGGCUUGCUUGUUAUAAAUCAGAUCUUGUUCAAUUAACAAGCUUUGGGUGUCUGCCACUUUCCAGUUGUAAUGCAAGGAAUCAUUUAUCUUCCCUGCUAGAUAUCACACGUAAUGCACCAUUGUUGGUUUUGCCUGUUAUAAAUCAGAUCUUGUUCAGUUAAAAAGCUUUAGGUGUCUGCCACUUUCCAAUUGUAAUGCAAGGAAUCCCCUGCCAGAUAUCGCAUGUAAUGCACCAUUGUUGGUUUUGCCUAUUAUAAAUCAGACCUUGUUCAGCUCACAAGCUUUGAAUAUCUACCAUUGUUUAUUUUAGGUGUAAUGCUUGGAAGCAUUUGUUCUCUUACCUACCCAACAGUAUGCAAUAUUUUAUUGUGGAUUUUGCCUGUUAUAUUUAAUCUUGUUCAGGUAACAAGCUUUUGGUGUCUGCCUUACCUAAUAUGUCCUGCAGUGACACUUGGCUUGGUUUCAUAAUGUGAAAUACAGCAUGUAAUUUCAUCACACUAAGUGUCUAUCAUCACGUGUCUGGCAUCAUUAAUGUGGCUUCCAGGAGUAAUCUUGUUUGUAUUACAGCCUGCAAAUUUUUUUCUGCUUUAUAUGAUAUACAUAAUCACAUAGGUAUGAUUUACAAAAUGUAAUGGCAGUUGAUAUUCUUGACUAAUGCCUCAUAAACCUUGUGAAAAAUAAUGCUUU